AUAAGCAGGAGUAACAGGUAACCUGAAGUGUCACCUCCAAGAACGGGACCCAGCCCCACAAUGAGGAAGCAAUUUAACUCUGCCUUAGCCUUGAAAAUGUGACAAAACUGAGUUGGACAGCAGUCUUGAGACACAUGGGACAAAAGGCGAGAUUCGUUCUGUCCGGGGAAAAACAAGAUUUUCAGGACAAAUGAGAGAGUGACAGAUUCAUAAAGAGAGUGACAAAUUCAUCGAUGAAGACUGCGGAGAGGAGAGAACAGACCUGGAACAAUCAUCAUCAGGAUACCUCAGUCUGUCCACCAAGUCCAUUGGUGCGAUCUUAAGAGUCACAUGACUUCGGGAUGUUUGAAUAAAAGGGGCCUUGACUUGGACCUACAGGGCAGGUAAAAUGGUCAACAGUCGUUCCAGCUCUUGCUGCUAAAGAACAGAACGUCCCUGUGAACACGGGCCACAUUCUCUCAGCAAACCACAACAGAAAUUGUUCGGGAAAAGAAUAAACUCAAUCCAUCA
rnacentral:lncRNA from 1 species